AUCCCGGUUUCCAUUGAUGUUGAGCCUCUGAUAACAGACGUCAUCUGCUGUGUACACAUCUAGGAGGGAAAGACGCCAUUAUUGGUCUGGACAAGCCUUAAAGCAAUCUCCUGGUGAAGAAGAUCCCGUUGAUUGGUGCUUGGCCGGUUACACCGUCUGCAAAUGCCAUGCCGCUAGAGAGGAUAAAGAAAAAGGCAGAACUUCGUCAUCAUUAUCAUAGCUACCCCCAGAUAACCCCGCAAGGGGCGACAUGGGGGGGGGGGGGGUUGAGUUGAGGUCCCGGGUUAGGGCUGGCAGCCCUCCUGCCUCCUGCCUUGACUCGGCGAAAGUCUAAAGAGUUGCUUGUGAGGAAACGUUCUAACAUCAAUAACACACCCUUUUCUCAAGAGGGAAGUGUGAAAAAUGUUUGUUAGUUUCUUUAUAUGUUUCUUGGUGAACUUCUAUUCGUACAAUGUAACACAAAAUGUGCAUACUAUUCUCCUGGGAUCUUAAUUUCUCAUAUACAAAAAUAAAUACAUUGAAAAUUACAAUGUAGCAAAUGAUAAUUGCAAUUAAUAAGGCACAAUUUCAACUACCUACUGAUGUGUAUACGACUGAAAACUAACGAUGGAAACUGAUAUAAGAUGAAAUGUAGCGGAGAAACAUUGUGUAUUUACAUUAUACAUUGUUAACCACCACACCUCAUCCCGUGUGGUUGUGUAUUUUAGUCAAUACCUUAUAAUUGCGUGUGUUUGCAGAUGUAAUGUGACAAGGUAAGUUGUUUAUGUACGUUUAUGUCUAGUGCGAAAAGUAUUCCCGGAAACAUAAUAAAAAGGCUGAAGAGGGUUUGAGUUAAUUCCGUUUUAUCAUAUCACGUCCGUUCCGCAAAGUAAUAUAAAUGACGUCAGGAGUGGUAAAAGGAAACACAUAAUGACGAGCUUAUGAUACUAAAGGCGUCAGAUAUUUUGGACAAGGGGGAAAUGUUAAAUCUUAAUUUCAUACAUCCCUUUCAAUGAGGUCGUCUGUACCAAACUCUGCAAAGAAUAGAAGUCUUAUCUUGUUUGGUCGUCUAGUAUUGGGAGAAUUUGGCGCCAUUCUUUCAUUAGGAAAAUAGUCUCUUGUGCAUCCUUUGUAUGAUCCCACUGGUGCUUAGAUUACCUGAUCUUACCGUACAGAGCUGUAUAACUAACAGUUGAUCAUAUACCUACUCAGCUGGGGCAUCGUGAAGAGCUAUGGAAUGUGACGUGAAGGACAAACAACAGAUUUCUACACACAGAAAAACUGUCCAAAGGACACAGUGGUGAUUGUGGUACUCUUGCACCAUUAGGACUCUCCUAGAUAGCCAAUUUGUCCACAUAGAGAGAGAGAGAGAGAACACAUGCAGUACAAUGCCACUUCACAUGCAAUGGAGAGUAGAAAGACUUA